UACAGAGGGGGCGAACGUUGUUCGGAAUUACUGGGCGUAAAGCGCAUGUAGGCGGCAGCGCAAGUCGGGCGUGAAAUCCCACGGCUCAACCGUGGAAGUGCACUCGAAACUGCGCAGCUAGAGUCCUGGAGAGGAAGGUGGAAUGCUUGGUGUAGAGGUGAAAUUCGUAGAUAUCAAGCGGAACACCGGUGGCGAAGGCGGCCUUCUGGACAGUGACUGACGCUGAGAUGCGAAAGCGUGGGGAGCAAACAGG
rnacentral:rRNA from 1 species